rnacentral:rRNA from 1 species
UACGUAGGGGGCAAGCGUUGUCCGGAUUUAUUGGGCGUAAAGAGCGUGUAGGCGGCCAGACAGGUCCGUUGUGAAAACUCGAGGCUCAACCUCGAGACGCCGAUGGAAACCGUCUGGCUAGAGUCCGGAAGAGGAGACUGGAAUUCCUGGUGUAGCGGUGAAAUGCGCAGAUAUCAGGAGGAACACCAGUGGCGAAGGCGGGUCUCUGGACAGUUCCUGACACUGAGGCACGAAGGCCAGGGAGCAAACGGG